rnacentral:piRNA from 1 species
AAUGUCAAAAUGUCUCACGUGCC